GGAAGUGACUGGAUGUGGAGAGGAGUGUAUCCGCGAAGGAACGCACAAGUGGCCUGACCUGCAGAAGAACGCUAGCUAGGCACUAGGCAUGCCGGCAAGGUCAGCUGAGAGCUGACCCCAGUGCAACGUGGAGGAGUUUGGUUGGGGCAGUCGGAGGAGCACCUGGGCCGCCAAGCGGCCAGACUUCGGGGGAAAGCCAUCUCUCUUCUGGCGCCUUUAUCGGCAGAGAGCUACUUGUACUCAAAACCUUGCACUCAUUCUCCAAGCCCACGUGGGUAAGAUUCACCCACACUGCGGAGGGCGUCGGAGCUCCACAGCCUGCCUGUCUGUAUGCUCCCAUAGAGGUUUGAGCAGCGGGGCACUGGAGAAGCAAGUCACACCCCCAUUGCACGCCAUGGGAGUAGGACAAGGAUUCAACAGAGUUGGAUUGCUGAGAAUAAAAUUACGGAUUUCUCCAUAAUGGACACACGCACUUUUUGUUUGUGCUGUUUCCUUUAGAAUGGACGAUGAGUCAAAAUUGUUCGUUUAUGCUUCUUCACAGAAGGAUCUUCUGUGUCGUAGGAGGUGGCCUGCAGCAAUCUGGACAUUCAGUGGUCCUCCUGUGAUUAAUAGGUGAACGGAUGAGCUAUUCUGAUAAGAACUGGGGAACUUUUGCCAUUCAAAAGCAAAUAGAAGAACUGGGAGAUUCCUCAACUUAGCUUUUCUUUUUUUUGGUUCUAAAGUGACUGCGAAUGGAGGUAGAAGAGAAGAAAAGCUUUCAAAAACAUCUUCCAUUAAGAAAAAUAUGUAUCUUCAUGAAGACCUAUCUGAGUAAAAUUACUAAAACAUAAUGGCUUUCUUGAAAUAGAAUGGAAUGAAAGGCAUAUUAGGGAGUAUGAAAGUAUGAAGAUUUUAUUAACAUACUUCUAGAAGUUUAUUAAAUAUCUGCACAGGAACUGUAAUUUGAGAUCAGUGGUGGAAAGAGAAUAAAGGAAUCACGUGGACAUCAGCUCUGAGGCCUGUGGCCCCACUUGCUUCUGGGCUUUCUAUAGACAUUUGCUGGUGACCUGCCCAGGCAGGCUAGAGUACCCUUCCUCAUUGCACCCUGUGUUCCCAUCCUCUUUUCCUUCCUUCCUUCCUUCCUUCCUUCCUUCCUUCCUUUCUUCCUCCAUCCCUUAUGAAACCCUCGUUGUGCAGUUACUUAUUAGGUGCUGUGUGAGCGUCUGAAGUCUCCCCUCACCCACUUUUCCAUUUGGGCCACUUGGCCAGUGAUUGCAUCAGUACCAGGGUUCUAGGAGCCAUGCAGGGAUCCCCAGUGGGCAGAGCUGGCCGUAGCAUUUGGAAAGGAAGAGAGAGAACUGGAGACAAUGCCUAGGAACAAAAGCAGAGUCCAGACCCAGGCAUCAAGUGCAAAUCCAAAGGCUCUGGAUGAGUCAGUUCCCAGCAAAGGGACACAAGUAGGCACAGAAGGAAGGACAGCAGAAAACACUGGUCCAGAGAGGGCCUGCAGAGCCAGAAGCGAUGACGCAUCCAAGGUUGUGUUUGACUUCUGCACUGCCUCUGCAACCUGUAAGCACAUCUGAGCCAGUUCAGAAAGUAGGAAAACCAAAGUAUAUCAGAAAUGGCCUCUUAUCAUCAAGGAGAUUUUGGUCUAGAUUGCUUAUUGCUCAGGAGAAAUCACCACUUUUUAAAAAGAUAUGCUGAGAUAGGGUUUAGUUGGGAUAGAAAAGGUUAUUAAACUACGGGACACCCUUCCUUUACAGAGUGUAAGCACUACUACCCCUUUUGUUUGUCUGUUUUUCUUAUUUUUCUCACAGAUGCAGUUCCUGCAUUAGUAUUGAUAAAUGUGUGGCUGCUCCACUUGGAGUGUUUUCAAAGCAUAAAUCACAGCAUUGAUGGUGCUGUGGUUUGGCUCUUCCAGCCCUCUUAACAACGGUCUGAUGGACUUGGCGAGAGUCUAGCCACGUGUUCUGGCCUCUGUCACUCUCAUGGCUGAAACGCAUGCACACCCACAGAUGGGGGCCCCGUGGUAGAGAUGUGCCUCUACUUGUCAAAUAGACUGACUCCAAAUUCGGAAAUAUGCCUCAGGAAUCUAGAAAGAUAGAAAAGGAGUCUUCGUCACUGUAGGGUCUCAUUCACAAUAUGGAGGAGAGAUGGAGGGGAGUUUUUGGUAUAAAUUUUGCCUCAUAAAAAUUCUCCACGUUGUUUUGUACUGUAUGAGGGUAGCGAGAAAUUAGUUGAUGGUUAACAAUCAAGCUGGAGAAGAAUAUCCUCAAUUUUUCACAUGGAAAAUGAAAAACUACAACUCCUUCCAAAUAUAUGUAUGUUUCUUUUCUGAAGAUAGACGUGUGUGUGUUUGUGUGUAUCAUAUAACAUUUAUUUUUUGAUUUCUUUGUUAUCAACAGUAAAAAUACAGAAAAUGAUGCCAAAGAG
rnacentral:lncRNA from 1 species